CCCGCUGAACUUAAGCAUAUCAAUAAGCGGAGGAAAAGAAACCAACAGGGAUUGCCUCAGUAACGGCGAGUGAAGCGGCAACAGCUCAAAUUUGAAAUCUGGCCUUCGGGUCCGAAUUGUAAUUUGUAGAGGAUGCUUUUGGUUAGGUACCUUUCGAGUUCCUUGGAACAGGACGCCUUAGAGGGUGAGAGCCCCGUACGAUUGGAUACCGAGCCUUUGUAAAGCUCCUUCGACGAGUCGAGUAGUUUGGGAAUGCUGCUCUAAAUGGGAGGUAAAUUUCUUCUAAAGCUAAAUACCGGCCAGAGACCGAUAGCGCACAAGUAGAGUGAUCGAAAGAUGAAAAGCACUUUGAACAGAGAGUUAAAUAGUACGUGAAAUUGUUGAAAGGGAAGGGCUUAUGACCAGACCUUUGCUUUGCGGAUCAUCCAGUGUUCUCACUGGUGCACUUCGCUAAGUUGAGGCCAGCAUCGAUUCUGGAAGUGGGGAUAAAGGCUCUGGGAAUGUGACUCUUCGUGAGUGUUAUAGCCCUAGUGCGUAAUGCCCUCUACUGGGAUCGAGGACCGCGCUUUUGCAUAGGAUGCUGGCAUAAUGGUCAUCAGCCACCCGUCUUGAAACACGG
rnacentral:rRNA from 1 species